UACAGAGGGUGCAAGCGUUGUUCGGAAUUAUUGGGCGUAAAGGGCGUGUAGGCGGUUUGCUAAGUCAUGUGUGAAAUCCCCCCGGCUUAACCGAGGAACGACGCAUGAUACUGGCAAGCUAGAGUACCAAAGAGGGGGGUGGAAUUCCCCGGUGUAGCGGUGAAAUGCGUAGAUAUCGAGAGGAACACCUGCGGCGAAGGCGGGUUGCUGGGCUGAUACUGACGCUGAGGCGCGAAAGCGUGGGGAGCAAACAGG
rnacentral:rRNA from 1 species